GGAAUCAAUGUCCCAGUCGGUACUCAAACAAUGGCACUGAUAUUUCCACAGUAAUUAGUAAGUGCUAUUUAUUGGGGUAGUUUGAAGUGA
rnacentral:pre_miRNA from 1 species